AGCUUGCUCCCUGAUGUCAGCGGCGGACGGGUGAGUAACACGUGGGUAACCUGCCUGUAAGACUGGGAUAACUCCGGGAAACCGGGGCUAAUACCGGAUGCUUGAUUGAACCGCAUGGUUCAAUUAUAAAAGGUGGCUUUUAGCUACCACUUACAGAUGGACCCGCGGCGCAUUAGCUAGUUGGUGAGGUAACGGCUCACCAAGGCAACGAUGCGUAGCCGACCUGAGAGGGUGAUCGGCCACACUGGGACUGAGACACGGCCCAGACUCCUACGGGAGGCAGCAGUAGGGAAUCUUCCGCAAUGGACGAAAGUCUGACGGAGCAACGCCGCGUGAGUGAUGAAGGUUUUCGGAUCGUAAAACUCUGUUGUUAGGGAAGAACAAGUACCGUUCGAAUAGGGCGGUACCUUGACGGUACCUAACCAAAAAGCCACGGCUAACUACGUGCCAGCAGCCGCGGUAAUACGUAGGUGGCAAGCGUUGUCCGGAAUUAUUGGGCGUAAAGC
rnacentral:rRNA from 1 species